CUCUCUUCCUCUCUCCCUCUCUCUUUCCUUUCCCUCUCUCCUCUCUCUCUUCCUCUCUCCCUCUCUCUGUUUCCUUCUCUCUCCCCCCUCUCCUCUCUCUCUUCCUCUCUCCCUCUCUCUUUCCUUUUCUCUCUCCUUUCUCUCCCCGUCUCUUUCCUUUUCUCUCUCCCUCUCUCCUCCCUCUCUCCCUCUCCCCCUCUCUUUCCCCCUCUUUCCUUCUCUCUCUCCCUCCCCCUCUCCCCCUCUUUCCUUCUCUCUCUCCCCUCUCCUCUCUCCCUCCCUCUCCCUCUCCCUCUCAUUCCCUCUUUCCUUCUCUCUCUCUCCCUCUUUCCCCCUCUCUCUUUCCUUCUCUCUUUCCCCCUCUCCCCUCUCUCUCUCUCCCUCUCUCUCUUCCCCCCUCUCUUUCCUUCUCUCUCUCUCCCCCUCUCCCCUUUCUCUCAUUCCCUCUCAUUCCCUCUUUCCUUCUCUCUCUUUCCCCCUCUCUCUUUCCUUCUCUCUCUCCCCCUCUCCUCUCUCUCUCCCUCCCUCUCUCUUUCCCCCUCUCUUUCCUUCUCUCUCUCCCUUCCUCUUCCCCACUCUCCCUUCCCUUCUCUCCCUCUCUCUCUCCUCUCUCGCACACACUUUCUCUCCCUCCCCCUCUCUCUGUCUCCCUCCCUCUCUCCCCCCCUCUCUCUCAUCUUUUAAGCCUUCCCAUCAGGAGUAUCUACAAGUGGACUAAAGCGCUGUUGAAUAGCACUUAGCUGCCAGCUGCCUGCAAUUACUGCAAGUUCAAAUCUCACCAGGCUCAAGGUUGACUCAGCCUUCCAUCCUUCUGAGAUUUCUGGACCGGAGCUCCUUCAAGAGAUGCCUUCACCUUUUGGAAGUUGCCGUUGCAUAAAGAGGAGGCGGCCAACUCAUCCCGGACUGGAGGUGGAGGAAUGUGACUCAAGCAGGAUAAUAAAGAAGAUCAGCGGCAGAGAAAAAACACGAGUCGAAAGGCUGCAGCAGCGUGACAGAGGAGGGUGCAAGAGGGUGUGGGUGAGCAGAUGUAAAAAAAAAAAAGGAGCUGCUGUCCUUCAGGCUUACACGGUCUUCCUUCUUUCUUAGAGACUUAUCCCCCGUUAGUCAUAGGACACCAGCUGGAGAUGGUGGG